rnacentral:rRNA from 1 species
AUCAACGCUGGCGGCGCGCUUAACACAUGCAAGUCGCACGAGAAAGGGAGCAAUCCUGAGUAUAGUGGCGCACGGGUGAGUAACACGUGGAUGAUCUACCUCCUUGUGGGGAAUAACCCUGGGAAACCGGGGCUAAUACCGCAUACGUUCGAGAGAAGAAAGCCGUAAGGCGCAGGGAGAGGAGUCCGCGGUCGAUUAGCUAGUUGGCAGGGUAAUGGCCUACCAAGGCGACGAUCGAUAGCCGGCCUGAGAGGGCACACGGCCACACUGGCAGUGAAACACGGGCCAGACUCCUACGGGAGGCAGCAGUGGGGAAUCUUGCACAAUGGGGGAAACCCUGAUGCAGCGACGCCGCGUGAACGAUGAAGCCCUUCGGGGUGUAAAGUUCUUUCGACGGGGACGAUAAUGACGGUACCCGGAGAAGAAGCUGCGGCUAACUACGU